CACAAACACUGAGUGGGCUCCUGCUGCCUCUGUAGAAAACGGGGGUAUAUGAUCUGGCAGUUGCUCAGUACAAUCUUCCAACUGAAAGCUUGAAGAAACCCAAGGCUUUUCAAAGGCAGUCCUUACAUAUCACCCCGGGGCUCUGCAGUUUGACAGGCUGGAACCUACUGCAGCACUGGGAAGGCCUUGCGGAGGGAGCACUGUGCCAGGAGCAUGGCUGGGACGCUGCUCUGUCAUUCCAUGUGGACUGGGAGUGGCAGGGAAGAGGAGGACAGAGUGAAAGACUUGCACACGUAGAGAAAGCCUCCACUGACUGAAGGUUUGAUUAGAUGGGCAGCAGUCAGAUUUUUGACUAAAUUCUCUCCAGGGGAAUGGCUGUCAGGCUGGAAGAUUGGUGUCAAAUAAGCAAGGAAAGCCCAUUGAGAAUGAAACGCUAAUGAAGGAACCAUCUGUCUUUCUGGUGGAAAGGGAUUUACCCUUGAGAGUACAGAUGAGCUUCACAGGAGGGGACACAGAAUACUGCACAACUAAAGCAAAUGAAGUCCCAGGCGAGCGGUAAAACAGGAAGAAAAGCAGCGUCAGGGCCGUGAAGCCGUGGGGACACCAGGCUUCCAAGAACGGUUUACAUUCCCCCAAAACAAGCCAGAUAGGCAACGCCCGCGUGGAGGGGGGAGGAGGAGGAGGAGCAGGUGGGGACCUGGGGUGUUCCUGGCUAUGUUUUGCGGUCUAGUGACCUUCCUCCUCCUCUAUUACUCUUCCGCAUUUCAAUUCCCUUUAAAAGAACACUAAACACUUUUAGACAC
rnacentral:lncRNA from 10 species